rnacentral:rRNA from 1 species
UACGUAGGGUGCGAGCGUUAAUCGGAAUUACUGGGCGUAAAGCGUGCGCAGGCGGUUUUGUAAGCCAGAUGUGAAAUCCCCGGGCUUAACCUGGGAAUGGCAUUUGGGACUGCAAGGCUUGAGUGCGGCAGAGGAGACUGGAAUUCCUGGUGUAGCAGUGAAAUGCGUAGAUAUCAGGAGGAACACCGAUGGCGAAGGCAGGUCUCUGGGCUGACACUGACGCUCAUGCACGAAAGCGUGGGGAGCAAAC